GUGUCAGCAGCCGCGGUAAUACGUAGGCAGCAAGCGUUGUUCGGAAUUACUGGGCGUAAAGAGUGUGUAGGCGGUGUUCUAAGUCUGUUGUGAAAUCUCCCGGCUCAACUGGGAGGGUGCGGCGGAGACUGGAAUGCUAGAGUAUGGGAGAGGUAAGCGGAAUUCCUGGUGUAGCGGUGAAAUGCGUAGAUAUCAGGAGGAACACCUGUGGUGUAGACAGCUUACUGGACCAUGACUGACGCUGAGACACGAAAGCGUGGGUAGCAAACAGGAUUAGAUACCCUGGUAGUCC
rnacentral:rRNA from 1 species